AUCAAAUGCAGCACAGCACGCAUGGGAUAUGUUUGACUUAUGACAGCCAAGAAUUUACAGAUAACAAUGUUUCUAUCUACAAAACAUAACAACAAGAGGCAUGGUCGCCGAGUAUGCAAAGUUGAGGCUCGAUAUUCUGUUGAACACAAACAAAGCAGGAAGCAGAAUGCCAAUAUCAGAACAUACUGUAGCCAUCGUCUUCGUUCAUCCCAAGAUAACACAAGAUGGACAGUACAAAAACGAAAAAGGAUGAAAGCUCCAAUGCCAUGGCUCCCCAACCAAUAACACCAGCAUGUUUUAAGAUGAUCGGAAUUGCAAUGCUGCCAACGGUGGAUGCUCCAGUCAAGAACUUAGUUGCAUUUAGCCAACAGCUUCCAGAUUCGGUGUAGAGACUGGAAGUAUCUGAACCAGCAAAGAACACCAAAGGCAUAGGCAGAGUGACAUACAUUAUAACUGUCAACAUUGGCCACCAGUUAUUAUACAAAGCACAUGCCAGUAUUUGCAAUACAAUCCCUCCAGACACUAACAUUGCCAAACAAGCAAGCCUUCCUGUCUGAAAGCAUGUUCUGAAAUAACCUGGCAUGUCCGCCAUCUUGCCCAAAUCAUACACUAGAAUGGCUGCACCGCGAUCACCGAUGAACUUUCGGAAUAGUUUAGGAUUCCGAUCGCCGAGCGGCUGCUUGGAUGAUCAAGAUUCAACUGGAGUUUUCGCCGGAGAAUCGCGACAAAGAUGUAGGAGAAGCUGAGAAAAUCGAGGGUUGUUUGAUAUCCUACUACUAUCCGAAGCCUCGAUUAAAUUUG
rnacentral:misc_RNA from 1 species